rnacentral:rRNA from 1 species
GUGUCAGCAGCCGCGGUAAUACGUAGGGUGCGAGCGUUAAUCGGAAUUACUGGGCGUAAAGCGUGCGCAGGCGGUUUUGUAAGUCAGAUGUGAAAUCCCCGAGCUCAACUUGGGAACUGCGUUUGAAACUACAAGACUAGAAUAUGUCAGAGGGGGGUAGAAUUCCACGUGUAGCAGUGAAAUGCGUAGAGAUGUGGAGGAAUACCAAUGGCGAAGGCAGCCCCCUGGGAUAAUAUUGACGCUCAUGCACGAAAGCGUGGGGAGCAAACAGGAUUAGAUACCCCCGUAGUCC